rnacentral:misc_RNA from 1 species
GGGACUUGAGAGACAGGAUCAGAGGUAAGGAUUCAUUCUCUGCUUCAUAAUGUUUGUUUCCUAUAAAGUGGUCUUCAGUAAGGUUAAAUAGCAAUACCAAAUAACAUAUAUGGGCGGAAAUUAAUUGAUAUACAAGUCACAUAGAUGUGCAUGAAGACCAAAGUUAUGAGCAGCCUUCAGCUGUUCAUAGCUGGUCUGUGACUGAAUUUUACACUAAUAGGCAGCUGAGUCUUCAUGAGGGCAAAAAGUACAGUGGUGCUAACCAUCUGCAGACACUUGGUUUAGAGGAUGAUGGGAUGGGAUGGUUAGUGAGCUUUAUGAUUUCUUACAUUUAACCUGAUCUUUCUGACAGCUUCAAUUUCUUUUUUUUUUUUCUGCAGCCAGCCGGUAUGCGAUACUGAU